rnacentral:pre_miRNA from 1 species
UAUUAUGGGUGAGCAAAGGAAGUGGUUUCUUAGGAUGGGAUCUACUCCCUGUGAAGAGGUUGUGAA